CCCCAAGUCUCACUUGGGAAUUCACUAUAACCCCUUGGAUUACAGCCGGUUGUUUUACAAGCUCACAACCAAACUUGUUGUUUUACGAGCUCACAACGAACUCGGUCGGUUUUCCCAGGCUCACCGACUAGAACCACCCCGAUUGUUUUCGCGGGAUCACAAUCGAACCCUUACACACGUUGGUUUUACACUCGGCUCACCAACCAACCUCAAGACUCUUUAUUCAAUCCUCCGAUUGAAUCAAGCAAAGACAAGUUGUAAAUAAAAGGGACAAACAAAAAACAAAGCUUCUCAAAAGCAAAUAAGGA
rnacentral:lncRNA from 1 species